rnacentral:rRNA from 1 species
AUGUGAUCGUCUCUCGCAUAUCAAUAAGCGGAGGAAAAGAAACUAACAAGGAUUCCCCUAGUAACGGCGAGUGAAGCGGGAAGAGCUCAAAUUUGAAAUCUUAAAGGGUUUCCCUUUACGAAUUGUAGUUUAAAGAAGUGUUUUCUGUUGAGGUUUUGGUAAAAGUUCUUUGGAAUAGGACAUCAUAGAGGGUGAGAAUCCCGUAUUUGACCUUUACUUUCAACUUUGUGAUACACUUUCAAAGAGUCGGAUUGUUUGGGAAUGCAGUCCAAAAUGGGUGGUAAAUUUCAUCUAAAGCUAAAUAUUGGCGAGAGACCGAUAGCGAACAAGUACCGUGAGGGAAAGAUGAAAAGAACUUUGAAAAGAGAGUUAAACAGUACGUGAAAUUGUCAAAAGGGAAGCGUUUGACACCAGUGUUGUUUUUCUGAAAAUCAAUUAAAGAACUGUAUAUGCUAAGUUGUUUAGACUUUAUCAGCUAACUGUUUAGUUUUGAGCUUUUCUUUAAUGCACUUUUCAGUUAACAAGUCAACAUCAAUUUCUUUUGCUGUAAAAAAGCUUGAGGAAGGUGGCUUGAGAUUCGUCUUAAGUGUUUAUAGCCUCUUGCCUAUGCAGUCGGAGAGAUUGAGGUCUGCAGCGUAGAUCCUUCGGGGCUAAAUGCAUUUGUGCUAAGUUAUAGCAUUUUAUAGACAACUUGUUGACUAUGAUUUGUCUUGUAGCUUACUCGCUUAUGUUAUUUUACCUACGCUUAGGAUGUUGAUAUGCAUGACUGAUAU